rnacentral:rRNA from 1 species
UACGGGGGGGGCAAGCGUUGUUCGGAAUUACUGGGCGUAAAGGGCGGGUAGGCGGCCUUCUAAGUCGGACGUGAAAUCCCUCGGCUCAACCGAGGAACUGCGUCCGAUACUGGAGGGAUUGAAUCCGGGAGAGGGAUGUGGAAUUCCAGGUGUAGCGGUGAAAUGCGUAGAUAUCUGGAGGAACACCGGUGGCGAAGGCGGCAUCCUGGACCGGCAUUGACGCUGAGGCGCGAAAGCCAGGGGAGCAAACGGG